CAAUAGCGUAUAUUUAAGUUGUUGCAGUUAAAAAGCUCGUAGUUGGAUUUCGGGUGGGACGCAGCGGUCUCGCAUUGCGUCUGUACUGCUGCAGCCCUCCUUCUUGCCGGGGGCGGCCUCUCGGACUUCACUGUCUGGGGGUCAGAAUCGGCGAUGUUACUUUGAGUAAAUUAGAGUGUUCAAAGCAAGCUUACGCUCUGAAUAUAAUAGCAUGGGAUAACACGACAGGACUCUGGCCUAUCGUGUUGGUCUAUAGGACCAGAGUAAUGAUUAAGAGGGACAGUCGGGGGCAUUCGUAUUCCGUUGUCAGAGGUGAAAUUCUUGGAUUUACGGAAGACGAACAUCUGCGAAAGCAUUUGCCAAGGAUGUUUUCAUUGA
rnacentral:rRNA from 1 species